rnacentral:rRNA from 2 species
GACAAACAGAUCGAGUUAAAAUAGAUAGCAGUAUAAAAGGGGGUUAGAAGUUAUAGGAAUUGGAAAAUAAUGCUUUUUAUGGGGGUAGAAUUUGUGUAAGAAGAGGUAAUUUUAUUUUUCCUUUAAUUUGAGGCUCCGAAAUUUUGUUAUGAGACCGGGAUUAGAUACCCCGUUAUUCAAAAUGUAAACUUUAAUAUAAAUUGAUUUACUAGAGUAUUACGAGUGAUGAAAAAAUAAUUUUAUAUAUUACUUAAAACUCAAAAAACUUGGCGGUGCCUUAUAUCCUUCCAGGGGAACCUGUCCUGUAAUCGAUAGUCCACGUUUUAACUUUCUUUUUUUUGAAAAUAUCAGUUUGUAUACCGUCGUCGUCGGGUUACCUUUAAGAGUUAUGAAGUUAUCGGUAUGAGUGAAUACAGAGAAAUUAGUUAUUAGCUAGUAUUUGUGUAAUUGUUCUAGACGUCAGAUCAAGGUGCAGCUUAUGGAAAAGGAGAGAUGGGUUACAAUAAUUUAUUUAUUAUGACGAAUCUUUGUUGUAAUUAGCAUAGUUGAAGGAGGACUUGGAAGUAAUUUUAAGAUUAAGAGAGCUUGAAUGAAAAUAGGCUCUAAGGUGCGC